rnacentral:tRNA from 1 species
GGGGUUGUAGUUAAAUUAACAUCUAAUUUGCAAUUAGAAGAUACUUAUAAGUCUACCUCA